rnacentral:rRNA from 1 species
UACGUAGGGUGCAAGCGUUAAUCGGAAUUACUGGGCGUAAAGCGUGCGCAGGCGGUUUUGUAAGUUUGUCGUGAAAUCCCCGGGCUCAACCUGGGAAUGGCGAUGAAGACUGCAAGGCUAGAAUCUGGCAGAGGGGGGUAGAAUUCCACGUGUAGCAGUGAAAUGCGUAGAGAUGUGGAGGAACACCGGUGGCGAAGGCGGCUACCUGGCCCAACAUUGACGCUGAGACCCGAAAGCAUGGGGAUCAAACAGG